rnacentral:lncRNA from 10 species
UUGGAGGCUACUGUGAGCUAUGAUCACGCCACUGCACUCCAGCCUGGGCAACAGAGUGAGACCCUGUCUCUAAAAGACAAAAAACAAAACAAAACAAAACAACUUGGAUCUGCCAAUUUGCGCUUCACAGCUUCCCAGUACUUACAGACUUUUCUGAUGAGAUCAGUGGUAACAGCAACAAAUUUGUUUUUUUAAAAAAUAUUCUAUAAGGAAAUAUGCCAACAUUUAAAAGAUCUAUGUAACUCAGUCAGUAUUUUCUAAGUUAUAAAAUCAUGCAUGAGUAAAAGGCAAGACAGACCAAUGGAUGUUAGUGUUCAGAGUAUAAAAUGUUCAUUGAUAUGGUUUCUGAUUCCACACUGCAACUAACCUUUAAAAAACUUCCACUUGUUUUGGCAGAUUAUUAAAAAAGAAUGGCCUCAAUUAUUUGAAAAGGCUACUAGAAUAUUCCUCCCUUUUCCAACUACAUUUGUAUGUGGCUGGAUUUUCUUCUUUACGUAGUUAAAUCAAAACAACAAUGCAAUAUAUUUAAGGCAGACGCGGAUACAACUGUUUUCUAUUAAACCAAAAAUUUAAGAGACUUGCAAAAAUGUAAAAUGCUACUUUUCUCAUUAAAUUUUUUGUAUUAAAGAAUAUAGUUAUUAUUCAUAAAAAUGUUACGUUAUUGUGGAGUGGGUUUAUUGUUAUUUCUUUAAUAAAAUACAUGUUUUUUAAACAUUUGUUUUAGGCUGGUCGUGGUGGCUUAUGCCUGUAAUCCCAGCACUUUGAGAGGCCAAGGUGGGAAGAUCACUUGAGCCCAGGGGUUCGAGACCAGCCUAGGCAAUAUCGAGACUCUGUCUCCACAAAAAAAAAAGUUAGCUGGGCAUGGUGGUGCAUGUCUGUAGUCCCAGCUACUCAGGAGGCUGAGGCAGGAGGAUUGCUUGAGCCCAGGAUUCAAGGCUGCAGAGAGAUAUGAUCACACCAUUGCACUCCAGCCUGAUAAAAAGCUCUUUAGAGCCCUCAAUAAUUUUUUAGAGUAUAAACAGGUCCUGACACCAAACAGUCUCAGAACCACUGUAGUCUAUGAAGAGCCUGAGCUUGUAAAGAAAGGGAGGUAUAUACAAGGUGGCAAAAGGGCUUCAGAGCAGGCAGAAUGGAGUACAGUCAGGCAAUCUCGGGCUCAGUUCCAACUUCAUCCAUAUAUAUAGCCGGUCAGCAACCUCAAGCAAAUUUAUUUGAGCUGCAAUUUCCUCUUUACAAAAUGGGACCAACUUAUCAACCUCAGAAGGGUUACUAUGAGGAUUACACUGUGUAAGCAGCAUCGAGUAUAUGUUACAAUGCUGGGAACAACGUUAUAUCAUCAGUAUCUCUACAUAUUAAACAUCCACUCUCAAGAAAUGGUCCCAAGAAUUUGGGGCAGCAGUAAAAUCUAGUUAAUCUAUCAUGUUAUCGCAGCUGUUUCAAUACCUUCAGAUUUUCUUUUUUUUUUUCUAUGAAGUAGAAAAUGAAAAUCUAGAUAAUGCAAAGAGGUAUCAGGAUUCUUUUCCUGCAUGAAAAGCGACCAGUGAGCUUUCUGAAAAGGCUUUCGAUUCAACAUUUCUUUUGCUGUUGUUGUUGUUUGAGAUGGGAGUCUUGCACUGUCGCCUGGGCUGGUGCACAGUGGCACGAUCUUGGCUCGCUGCAACCUCCGCCUCCCAGGUUCAAGUGAUUUUCCUGCCUCAGCCUCCCAAGUAGCUAGGAUUACAGGGGCCUGCCACCACACCUUGCUAAUUUUUU